AUACUUACCUGGCAGGGGAGAUACCAUGAUCAUGAAGGUGGUUUUCCCAGGGCAAGGCUUAUCCAUUGCACUCCAGAUGUGCUGACCCCUGCGAUUUCCCCAAAUGUGGGAAACUCGACUGCAUAAUUUGUGGUAAUGGGGGACUGCGUUCACGCUUUCCCCUG
rnacentral:snRNA from 1 species